UUUAUGGAGAGUUUGAUCCUGGCUCAGGAUGAACGCUGGCGGCGUGCCUAAUACAUGCAAGUCGAGCGAACGGACGAGAAGCUUGCUUCUCUGAUGUUAGCGGCGGACGGGUGAGUAACACGUGGAUAACCUACCUAUAAGACUGGGAUAACUUCGGGAAACCGGAGCUAAUACCGGAUAAUAUUUCGAACCGCAUGGUUCAAAAGUGAAAGACGGUCUUGCUGUCACUUAUAGAUGGAUCCGCGCUGCAUUAGCUAGUUGGUAAGGUAACGGCUUACCAAGGCAACGAUGCAUAGCCGACCUGAGAGGGUGAUCGGCCACACUGGAACUGAGACACGGUCCAGACUCCUACGGGAGGCAGCAGUAGGGAAUCUUCCGCAAUGGGCGAAAGCCUGACGGAGCAACGCCGCGUGAGUGAUGAAGGUCUUCGGAUCGUAAAACUCUGUUA
rnacentral:rRNA from 1 species